rnacentral:rRNA from 1 species
AACGUAGGUGGCUAGCGUUGCCCGGAUUCACUGGGCGUAAAGCGGGUGUAGGCGGCUUUCUAAGUCAGGGGUGAAAUCCCGGAGCUCAACUUCGGAACUGCCUUUGAUACAGCACGUCUUGAGUCCGAUAGAGGUGGGUGGAAUUCCUAGUGUAGAGGUGAAAUUCGUAGAUAUUAGGAAGAACACCGGUGGCGAAGGCGGCCCACUGGAUCGGUACUGACGCUGAGGUGCGAAAGCGUGGGGAGCAAACAGG